rnacentral:rRNA from 1 species
AACGAACGCUGGCGGCGUGCUUAACACAUGCAAGUCGAACGGAAAGGCCCUGCUUUUGUGGGGUGCUCGAGUGGCGAACGGGUGAGUAACACGUGAGUAGCCUGCCCUUGACUUUGGGAUAACUUCAGGAAACUGGGGCUAAUACCGGAUAGGAGCUCCUGCUGCAUGGUGGGGGUUGGAAAGUUUCGGCGGUUGGGGAUGGACUCGCGGCUUAUCAGCUUGUUGGUGGGGUAGUGGCUUACCAAGGCUUUGACGGGUAGCCGGCCUGAGAGGGUGACCGGCCACAUUGGGACUGAGAUACGGCCCAGACUCCUACGGGAGGCAGCAGUGGGGAAUAUUGCACAAUGGGCGGAAGCCUGAUGCAGCAACGCCGCGUGCGGGAUGACGGCCUUCGGGUUGUAAACCGCUUUCGCCUGUGACGAAGCGUGAGUGACGGUAAUGGGUAAAGAAGCACCGGCUAACUACGUG